GACGAACGCUGGCGGCGUGCUUAACACAUGCCAGUCGAACGGAAAGGCCCUGCUUUUGUGGGGUGCUCGAGUGGCGAACGAGUGAGUAACACGUGAGUAACCUGCCCUUGACUUUGGGAUAACUUCAGGAAACUGGGGCUAAUACCGGAUAGGAGCUCCUGCUGCAUGGUGGGGGUUGGAAAGUUUCGGCGGUUGGGGAUGGACUCGCGGCUUAUCAGCUUGUUGGUGGGGUAGUUGCUUACCAAGGCGUUGACGGGUAGCCGGCCUGAGAGGGUGACCGGCCACAUUGGGACUGAGAUACGGCCCAGAGUCCUACGGGAGGCAGCAGUGGGGAAUAUUGCACAAUGGGCGGAGGCCUGAUGCAGCAACGCCGCGUGCGGGAUGACGGCCUUCGGGUUGUAAACCGCUUUCGCCUGUGACGAAGCGUGAGUGACGGUAAUGGGUAAAGAAGCACCGGCUAACUACGUG
rnacentral:rRNA from 1 species